rnacentral:pre_miRNA from 1 species
AAUGUAUUCUUCCGUCCAACAAAAGAUGUCUCAAGUUUUUCAAAAUUUGGAUGUAUUUAGACAUGACUUAGUGUAUAAAUGCAUUUAAAUUUGGUCAAAGUUGAAACAUCCUUUGUUGGACGGAUGGAGUAUACG